CCUACGGGAGGCAGCAGUAGGGAAUCUUCCGCAAUGGACGAAAGUCUGACGGAGCAACGCCGCGUGAGCGAAGAAGGUCUUCGGAUCGUAAAGCUCUGUUGUUAGGGAAGAACAAGUACGGGAGGAAAUGACCGUACCUUGACGGUACCUAACGAGGAAGCCACGGCUAACUACGUGCCAGCAGCCGCGGUAAUACGUAGGUGGCAAGCGUUGUCCGGAAUUAUUGGGCGUAAAGCGCGCGCAGGCGGUCUUUUAAGUCUGAUGUGAAAGCCCACGGCUCAACCGUGGAGGGUCAUUGGAAACUGGGGAACUUGAGUGCAGAAGAGGAGAGCUGAAUUCCACGUGUAGCGGUGUAAUGCGUAGAGGUGUGGAGGAACACCAGUGGCGAAGGCGGCUCUCUGGUCUGUAACUGACGCUGAGGCGCGAAAGCGUGGGGAGCAAACAGGAUUAGAUACCCUGGUAGUC
rnacentral:rRNA from 1 species